AUUCCUCGGCUGCAUCACUUCAAUCUCUGUCUUUCUCUUCACCUGACAGUAUCCCCAGGUGCAUAUCUGUGUCCAAAUUCACCCCACAUCUCCAUUUAUAAUGCAUCUUCACUUGGAACCUUCAUGGAACCAAAUUAGAGAGUUCUGUAUAGGGUCAUAGAUGUAAGAGCACUUUAAAAGGCUUUCAUGGAAAACUUGAAGAUUGACUAUGCCGUAAAGAAAAGACUCAAUCAGGCACAUACUGUAUGUUUUGCAAUAGUAACAAAGGUCAUGGUACCAUUAUAUUAAAACUUAGUUUGUUAUAAUCAUUUUUGUGUCAUCAAAAAAUGUUUUGGGGGGGCCAGCCACAGUGACUCACACAUAUAUUCCCAGCACUUUGGGAGGCCAACAUGGGAGGACUGUUUGAGCCCAGGUGUUCAAGAUGAGCCUGGGCAACAUAGGGAGACCCUGCUGUCUUUGCUGCAGAUAUUAAGGAGUUAAUAAAUUAGACAGCCAACAAGCAGGAAUCGGGAAAAGCCACAGAACUUAGAAUUGAACAGCUGACAGCAGAUUCUGCAGGUGCAAGAUGGGAAUCAGCUCUGCAUUUUCUAUGUAGCACAGUUUUCUCUGCCUGGCCUGUGGCCUGAUUUCCUGGCCUCUUUGGGAUAAGCUGAAUUAUAAGACAGAGAAUUCCAGAAGAUCUAGCUCUGUGAUCCUAUGAUAGUGAUUUACAACUAGAUUUAGGGAGAAAAAAACAAAACUCAACAAAUAUUCACUUAAAAGUUAAUGAGUAUUUGCUAUGGAGAAGGCAUUUUGUUGAGUGAUACAGAGGAUACAAAAAUGACCAAGAUCUGCAACCCCCCUCUUUCAAAAGCUUAUGGCAUAAGGCUAGUAACUUAGAAGAAAAAGCACAUUGUUAUCAGUCAUCAGUAUAUUUUGGUGAAUCCAUCUAUUAGCCAAUUUGUUUCAGACUUUGAAAAGCUGAAGGAUGGGGCAAGCCUAGGAUACUACCUAGGAAAGAUCAGCCUGGAUUAAGACACUUAAUGAAAGAAGAUGAGGGAAGUGGGCACAAGCCGGGGGAGGCGAUAGCACAAAAGAGGGUAGAAGAUGAGAGCACGCUGACUGCAAACUGUGUGUGUUUCAGAGGGUGGAUUUCCUAGCUCUGACUUCUAGCAAAUAAUUUUCAAAAUGUAAAGUGGACCUUAACAAAGUACUAUUCUUAUCAAUCCAAGAGUGCCAAGCAAUCAAGGAGAGAGAUUUACAGACAAUGUACUUUCAAAUUCACAAUGCAAACUCUAAAGUAAUAUGCAUUUUCUUAUAAGCUUAACUUUAGUAAAGAAUGAUUUUUGAAGUUCACUCAAAUAUCGAAUAUUUGCAGAUAUCCUUAUUUCAUUACUUUGCUCCAAAUAUUUAAAACCAGAUGAAAAAAAGUAAUGUCCUUAAGGAGUCAAAUUCAUUAUUAAAAUAAGAUAUUUUCCAAGUUGUUUGGAAAAUGGUUUACUUUCUUUUUUCCCCCUUUACUAGACCUCAAAAUACAUUGAGUUUUCCUCACUGGUAAAGAAAUACAACAUUGAGAAGUAUCAAGUGAAUCCACUUGAACAGGCUUCAAAACCAUACCACUAACGUAUUAUUUUAAAAUGUUUCUCUAAGACGCAUUUAUUACAAGGGAACACUGUUUAGGAAGCAUUAACACUCACAGUCCCUAAAUUUUAAAUUGGUCCCUAAUAUUCCAUUUGGUAAUCAAUAUCCUCCUUUGCUCCUCCCCCACCCUCUCAGAUGGCCUUAUUCUCUGUCAGUAUCUAUCACAUUUUCUUUUUUCUUUUUUU
rnacentral:lncRNA from 1 species